GAUGAACGCUGGCGGCGUGCUUAACACAUGCAAGUCGAACGAAGCACCUUGAUUUGAUUCUUCGGAUGAAGAUCUUGGUGACUGAGUGGCGGACGGGUGAGUAACGCGUGGGUAACCUGCCUUGUACAGGGGGAUAACAGUUGGAAACGGCUGCUAAUACCGCAUAAGCGCACGGCAUCGCAUGAUGCAGUGUGAAAAACUCCGGUGGUAUAAGAUGGACCCGCGUUGGAUUAGCUAGUUGGUGAGGUAACGGCCCACCAAGGCGACGAUCCAUAGCCGACCUGAGAGGGUGACCGGCCACAUUGGGACUGAGACACGGCCCAAACUCCUACGGGAGGCAGCAGUGGGGAAUAUUGCACAAUGGGCGAAAGCCUGAUGCAGCGACGCCGCGUGAGCGAAGAAGUAUUUCGGUAUGUAAAGCUCUAUCAGCAGGGAAGA
rnacentral:rRNA from 1 species